rnacentral:tRNA from 1 species
UGGGCCAUCGCCAAGCGGUAAGGCAUAGCACUUUGACUGCUACACUCGCUGGUUCGAAUCCAGUUGGCCCAG